ensembl:snoRNA
CCCCCAGUGAUGACAGUCCUGACGCUUGACCACGCAAUGAUUUCUGGCGUAUUCGUACUGACUGACCCGGGGG